rnacentral:rRNA from 1 species
UACAGAGGGUGCGAGCGUUGUCCGGAAUCACUGGGCGUAAAGGGCGCGUAGGCGGCUCAGUAAGGUUGCGGUGAAAGCCCGGGGCUCAACCCCGGGUCGGCCGUGGCAACUGCUGGGCUGGAGCACUGUAGAGGCAGGUGGAAUUCCGGGUGUAGCGGUGGAAUGCGUAGAGAUGUGGAGGAACACCGAUGGCGAAGGCAGCCUCCUGGGCCAGCACUGACGCUCAUGCACGAAAGCGUGGGGAGCAAACAGG